rnacentral:rRNA from 1 species
GACGAACGCUGGCGGCGUGCUUAACACAUGCAAGUCGAGCGGUAAGGCCCUUUCGGGGGUACACGAGCGGCGAACGGGUGAGUAACACGUGGGUGACCUGCCCUUAGCUCUGGGAUAAGCCUGGGAAACUGGGUCUAAUACCGGAUAUGACUCCAUGACGCAUGUUGUGGGGUGGAAAGCCUUGUGCGGCUAGGGAUGGGCCCGCGGCCUAUCAGCUUGUUGGUGGGGUAAUGGCCACCAAGGCGACGACGGGUAGCCGGCCUGAGAGGGCGACCGGCCACACUGGGACUGAGACACGGCCCAGACUCCUACGGGAGGCAGCAGUGGGGAAUCUUGCGCAAUGGGCGAAAGCCUGACGCAGCGACGCCGCGUGAGGGAUGACGGCCU